UACGAAGGGUCCAAGCGUUAUCCGGAUUCAUUGGGCGUAAAGGGUGCGUAGGUGGCGCGCUAAGUCAGGUGUGAAAUUUCGGAGCUUAACUCCGAAACUGCAUUUGAUACUGGCGUGCUUGAGGACUGGAGAGGAGACUGGAAUUCAUGGUGUAGCAGUGAAAUGCGUAGAGAUCAUGAGGAAGACCAGUGGCGAAGGCGGGUCUCUGGACAGUUCCUGACACUGAGGCACGAAGGCCAGGGGAGCAAACGGG
rnacentral:rRNA from 1 species